GACGCUCUUCAGAUCUGCCAAUUGAGACAAACAGUUCUGAGACUGUUCUUCCACCACUGAUUAAGACUGGGGUGGCAGGUAUUGGGGAUAAUACUCAUUUAACCUUCUGAGCUUUCUGGGCAGACUUGGUGACUUUGCCAGCUCCAGCUGCCUUCUUGUCCACCGCUUUGAUGACACCCACAGCGACCAUCUCUCAUGUCACGCACAGCAAAACAGCCCUUGAGAGGAUAGUUAGAGAAGGUCUUGACACACAUGGGCUUUCCAGGAACCAUAUCAACAAU